GAGUGCAUUACUUGCAUUGUAAGGUUGCUUGGUGGACUUGUGUUUGAUCAACACUGAAACUCUUCAUUCCUUCACAGCAGAAAGUAUGUGUCUGUUUUGAUGCAGGAUUGACUGUUUUAGUUCAGUAAAGACAAUUAAAAAGCACACAUUUCCAUAAGUGGUGGCAUUGGACAGAGAUAUCUGAUAUGCUACAGAGCCAAUAUUCAAUUAAAGGAUGCCACUUUGAAUGCGUUAAUUCGCACAGGAGCAGAGAUAACAGGCCAAAGUGACCUAUUCCUGCAGUUAACACUGUUCUCGCUGGCUGACACAAAAUGGGCAGUGGAGAGGGUGGUGACCUGCCACCUACCAGAGUGCCAUCGACACCUCGGUUGGCAUCUCUAAACGCUGUUGACCGAAACGUACCGUACCGCUUCGAUAUGCGUAAAACGUUUGUCUUGUGCCCCCCCCCCCCCCCCCGCCCAUCUCUCUCUGUCUCACGCUUUCUGUUCUGCUGGGCAGUGUAACUGUACCCCAGUCCUUUUAAAAAAUAUUCUAAGAAUACCCCCACCACCCCCACCCCCGCCUUUAAAAAUUAGACAACAUUGUCAGUUUGGCAGUGUCAUGCUACUGAAGGUGACCCGCCCCCCCCAGUUUGUCAGGCAGUGAAAUGCUGUCUCUCUGGGUGUAAGCCGGAGGAAGUUCACACGGUGUCGGGGAACAGUGCUGCCUGCGAGUAGCUUUCGAAAGCACAGUAACGAACGGGAAUGCCGAUGCCUGCAGGUGUUAUCAGCGUUGGCAUUCUAACGAGAUGGAAGGUAUGAACUGGACUUCUUGGGGGCAAGUGUAGGCCCUACUCUGGGGGGGGGGGCGUUACCAACGGUUGCUUAAGUCACACAAGUGUACUUUCGUUGGUUAAUCUCAUAUCAGUGAUGGAACGGUUAACCGAUUUCCUUUGGUUUGCAAAAAAAUUGCAUAGCCUAAUAUUUCUGGGCGUAGAACACUGGCGUCGAACACACACACACACACACACACAUGCUAAUUAAACCAGUAACCUGUAUUCAUGAAGCGCUGUCUUAAGAAUCGGCUUAAACCGAGGAACAGUACCCACUGAAAACGUUUUUUCUUUCGCCCAAUUUUAUCCCCCAUUUGGAGCGCCCGAUUGGACACGGCCGCAGUCAGCGGAUGCCGGAGGGCUCUGCGACAGCACACAUUUUCGGAAGUGCGUGAUGUCAGCAGCUGUUCCCUUUCACACCACGGCCCACGCGCUGUAAGCUCGCGCCGAGGCGAAAAGGCGGAAGACCGAUCGUGUGCGGCUUUAGCAAGCGAGCUAGCGGAGCCACGAGACGCAGACGAACCCGACUAGAGCCCCCCUAAACCUGGCGACAGUACCGCCGAUUUCGCCUUUGUGACAACGGCACAGAACGGAACUCGGGCACAGCGGUUGCUUGGAAACCCAGGCGAUGUUCACGAACGUACAGAGCCGUGGGGUGGGCGUGCGGCCGCCCCUGCGUUUCCGAGACCUCCUCUACCAGAUACGAAAGAUUUACCGACCAGGAAUGGCGCGGAUUGUGCGGCAAAAUAAGCUUAUUUCUGUGUCUCGAGAUUCAGCUGCUUCCAGUCCUUGCUGCACCUUUCGUGACAGGUGGUAUGCCUUGCUAAUGUUUAACACUUGUUCAGGAGGCUAAUUACACGGCCAAAUAAAUAACAAUGAA